rnacentral:rRNA from 1 species
GUGCAUCCAACGGCUAUCCAGAGUCAACGCGGAAACUACCAGGCCUCCACUCGUCCCCGUCCUCGAUUCCUCACGCGCGAGGCAAAAUAAACCGCGGCAAGAAAGCUUCGCGGGCGGGAACUCGCUCUGCGCCGUCGCCGCUGUGGGGAGGGAGGCAUGGGAGCUCCCGCGGCGGCCACCGGAUAAACGGCCUCCGCUCGUCUCUGACGGCGCCCUCGCUCCCCUACGACUCUUCCUCGUCCCGCUGUGCUGGCAGCUGUCCGUCGCGACCGGCCACCUCUGUCUGCUCCCUCCGCCCUCAUCCGGCGGCUCGCUUCACCCAUCUCUGGCUGCUCCCUCCGCCCGCAUCCAGCGGCUCGCUCCGCACCCUCCAACGCUCGUCGGCCACGGCGCCUGCCCGUGCAGCAGAAAACUGAACGCCAACUUCAGUUCAGACUCCAACAGGCAACAGAUGUAUGCUGCUCUUGCCUUGCGUCUGUCUCAUGGUCAGGGCGGACCAUCGGAGGGAGACGUCGAUUGGAGGGGGUCCGUCGUCGACAGCCGCUGGAACGGGCGGAGGUAGCCGCCCGAUUGGAGACCUUCAACGGCCGCGUUCAUGGUCUGUUUGCCGGAGCGGGGCGGGGAGGAGUGGGGGCAGAGCGGCAUGCCACCGUCGUUGGAGCUCCCUUCCCCACGGCGGCGACGGCGGCAGAGGAGUUCCCGCCCGCGAGCCAGUGGCGGUUUUUCUUUCCCGUGUUGCCUCGCGCGUGAGGACUCGAGGACGGGGACGAGUGGAGGCCUGGUAGUUUCUGCGUUGACUCUGGAUAGCCGUUGGAUGCACAUUGGACGUUGGAUUCCAGGCCUCAAGGCGCGUGGUGCCUUGACAGAGGCGAGGCACCGGAUCUCAGUCCACACGUGUGGCAGUUAUCGGUAUCCUAAUGUUAUGCAUGAAGUUGUCGGUCGGAGUAUGGACGAAGUUCUGAUUUUCAAACCGCCUAAUGUUGAUUUGCCACCGGAUUCUUCAAAAUCGCCGAAAUUUGCACCGUCCAACUACAGAACA